rnacentral:tRNA from 1 species
GGGGCUGUAGCUCAGUGGGAGAGCACUUGUCUGGCAGACAAGGGGUCAGGGGUUCAAAUCCCCUCAGCUCCACCU